GGAGUUAGCCGGUGCUUCUUCUGUGAGUGAUGUCCUUCCUGCCGGCUAUUAACCCGCAGGCCUUCUUCCUCACUGAAAGUGCUUUACAACCCGAAGGCCUUCUUCACACACGCGGCAUGGCUGGAUCAGGGUUGCCCCCAUUGUCCAAUAUUCCCCACUGCUGCCUCCCGUAGGAGUCUGGGCCGUGUCUCAGUCCCAGUGUGGCUGAUCAUCCUCUCAGACCAGCUACGGAUCGUCGCCUUGGUGAGCCGUUACCUCACCAACCAGCUAAUCCGACAUAGGCUCAUCCGAUAGCGCGAGGCCCGAAGGUCCCCCGCUUUCCCCCGUAGGGCGUAUGCGGUAUUAGCCUGGGUUUCCCCCAGGUUAUCCCCCACUACCGGGCAGAUUCCUAUGCAUUACUCACCCGUCCGCCGCUCGCCACCAGGGAGCAAGCUCCCCGUGCUGCCGCUCGACUUGCAUGUGUAGCGUCGCCGCCACGCGUUCAACUCUGAGCCGACGAGUACAACUACUGA
rnacentral:rRNA from 1 species